AAGAGUGCGUAAUAGCUCACUGGUCGAGUGACCCCGCGCCGAAAAUGUACCGGGGCUAAACAUAUUACCGAAACUGUGGAUGAACCUCUUUAGAGGUUCGUGGUAGGAGAGCGUUCUAAGGGCGGUGAAGUCAGACCGGAAGGACUGGUGGAGCGCUUAGAAGUGAGAAUGCCGGUAUGAGUAGCGAAAGAAGGGUGAGAAUCCCUUCCACCGAAUAUCUAAGGUUUCCUGAGGAAGGCUCGUCCGCUCAGGGUUAGUCGGGACCUAAGCCGAGGCCGAUAGGCGUAGGCGAUGGACAACAGGUAGAGAUUCCUGUACCAGUGCUAAUUGUUUAACCGAUGGGGUGACACAGAAGGAUAGGGAAUCGCACGAAUGGAAAUGUGCGUCCAAGCAGUGAGUGUGAGAAGUAGGCAAAUCCGCUUCUCGCGAAGCAUGAGCUGUGAUGGGGAAGGAAAUUAAGUACGGAAGUUCCUGAUUUCACGCUGUCAAGAAAAGCCUCUAGGAAGAGUAGUACUGCCCGUACCGCAAACCGACACAGGUAGAUGAGGAGAGAAUCCUAAGGUGAGCGAGAGAACUCUCGUUAAGGAACUCGGCAAAAUGACCCCGUAACUUCGGGAGAAGGGGUGCUCUAUUAGGGUGCAAGCCCGAGAGAGCCGCAGUGAAUAGGCCCAGGCGACUGUUUAGCAAAAACACAGGUCUCUGCAAAACCGUAAGGUGACGUAUAGGGGCUGACGCCUGCCCGGUGCUGGAAGGUUAAGAGGAGUGCUUAGCUUCGGCGAAGGUACGAAUUGAAGCCCCAGUAAACGGCGGCCGUAACUAUAACGGUCCUAAGGUAGCGAAAUUCCUUGUCGGGUAAGUUCCGACCCGCACGAAAGGCGCAACGAUCUGGGCACUGUCUCAACGAGAGACUCGGUGAAAUUAUAGUACCUGUGAAGAUGCAGGUUACCCGCGACAGGACGGAAAGACCCCGUGGAGCUUUACUGCAACCUGAUAUGGAAUGUUUGUACCGCUUGUACAGGAUAGGUAGGAGCCGAAGAGACGUGUGCGCUAGCAUACGAGGAGGCAAUGGUGGGAUACUACCCUGGCUGUAUGACCAUUCUAACCCGCCACGCUUAGCGCGUGGGGAGACAGUGUCAGGUGGGCAGUUUGACUGGGGCGGUCGCCUCCUAAAGAGUAACGGAGGCGCCCAAAGGUUCCCUCAGAAUGGAUGGAAAUCAUUCGCAGAGUGUAAAGGCACAAGGGAGCUUGACUGCGAGACUGACAAGUCGAGCAGGGACGAAAGUCGGGCUUAGUGAUCCGGUGGUUCCGCAUGGAAGGGCCAUCGCUCAACGGAUAAAAGCUACCCCGGGGAUAACAGGCUUAUCUCCCCAAAGAGUCCACAUCGACGGGGAGGUUUGGCACCUCGAUGUCGGCUCGUCGCAUCCUGGGGCUGUAGUCGGUCCCAAGGGUUGGGCUGUUCGCCCAUUAAAGCGGCACGCGAGCUGGGUUCAGAACGUC
rnacentral:rRNA from 1 species